UUCGCCCAGCGGACAGAAAGAUUUGACGCGUACUAAAAAACACAUUUCUCUUCGUUGUCUGUCUGUCUUGCUAAAUUACUAAUUGGGGCAUGUUAUGUUCUUACGCUUAAAUGUGUAUAAUUUGGUUCUCAUGUUACCUCUGUGUAUUCAUCUGUAAUCUCCAUAUGUUACCUCCAGAUUUAGAUGAUGAACUGUAAAGAACUGCAAGAGGAAGAGCUUGAAGUUCUUACUUCCAUUUAUGAUGGAGAUGAAAAUUUCAAGCAGAUUUCUCCGACGUGUUUCCAGUAUAAAGAAUAAAGUUAUUUGAUUCAGAAAAGGUUGGAUCUUUGUAUUCAAAAUUCUGGUAUUUCA